GGGGGCAACCCUGAUCCAGCCAUCCCGCGUGUGCGAUGAAGGCCUUCGGGUUGUAAAGCACUUUUGGCAGGAAAGAAACGGCCUUGGAUAAUACCUGAGGCAACUGACGGUACCUGCAGAAUAAGCACCGGCUAACUACGUGCCAGCAGCCGCGGUAAUACGUAGGGUGCAAGCGUUAAUCGGAAUUACUGGGCGUAAAGCGUGCGCAGGCGGUUCGGAAAGAAAGAUGUGAAAUCCCAGAGCUUAACUUUGGAACUGCAUUUUUAACUACCGGGCUAGAGUGUGUCAGAGGGAGGUGGAAUUCCGCGUGUAGCAGUGAAAUGCGUAGAGAUGCGGAGGAACACCGAUGGCGAAGGCAGCCUCCUGGGAUAACACUGACGCUCAUGCACGAAAGCGUGGGGAGCAAACAGGAUUAGAUACCCUGGUAGUCCACGCCCUAAACGAUGUCAACUAGCUGUUGGGGCCUUCGGGCCUUGGUAGCGCAGCUAACGCGUGAAGUUGACCGCCUGGGGAGU
rnacentral:rRNA from 1 species